rnacentral:misc_RNA from 1 species
CUCUGAUAGUAACUGUUCAAUGCAUAUGAAAUGUUCCCCUUAACAUCCAAACCUCCACAAGAAGUCCCAUAACCAAGGCUGGUGCAGUCAGCAAGUCCACAAGCAUAGCUCACACUAGGUGCCACAAGAUUGGCUGAUGACUUCAUCACACACCAUUUACCCUCCAGGUAACGGACAUUUUUUGCUUCAAUUAAAGCUAUUGAAUUUGUGGUACCAAGGUUAAGGGAGUACUUGGCUUUUCCAUCAUAUGUAAAUAUCCCCCAAUGGCGUUCGAAGUUCCCCGGAUCAAUGCUCUUAGCAUCCUCAUCAAUCAAACUAAAUAAAUA